GAGCGUGGGUUCUUCGGGUUUUGUCGGCUCGACUCCGCCUGCCCGGCUUCUUCCACCUCCCCGGCGUGCUCCGAGCCCGCCGCGCCGUCCCUCGCUCGCCGCCGCUCUCCCACGCCUGCGGGCUCCCUUCCGGGGUGGCGAGGCGAGGCGAGGCGAGCGAGGGCGGCGGCGCACAGCCUGUUACCCAGCGCUGCCUGCGAGAGCCGCUCGCCGGCGGGACUCCAGCUGCCGUCUCUCGUGUCGCGGGUCGCGAGCUUGGGGAAGGGGCCGGGCCGGAGAAUCCCUGCUUGGACGCGAAAAACCGCCUUGCAAAUAGGAUUGCCUUGGCCUCCGGGAGCGGAAAGGCUCCGGGGGCGGGGGAGGGGGGGGGUGUAACUCGCGGCUACAACCUGUCGAGCUUUUGACAGUGUCCGAACCCCUUAUUAAAUGUGAUCUUGGAGGGUUUCGUGACAGCGUUGGCAAAACAGGGAUUCUUUUUUGAGGCGACAACCAAGGCUCGGGUCACAUAUAAAGUGGAGGAAAGAGAAAAGAUUAGAAAUUCUUUCUACACACAUGCUGUCAUGCACACCCCAACGCACGGGCAUCCUCCCUCUCCCUUCACGAAACUUGGAAGAAAUGGGGUGAGAUGGAGAAGGACACCGACCGUCAGAAAUCUGGAAGUGGAAAGAAGCCUCAGGGUUUUCAAAUUCUCUGAUCGUGGCAACCGGAACCAAGAGAGGCUUCUUUUCUGUCUGCGGUUGGCAGAACCUGAGAGAUGCUGCUACUUGAACCCUGGAGCGGAAGGGUACAUGAUUGGUGCUGUCCCCAUGCUGGACACUUAGACGUUUUGUGCAUAUACAAAUAAAACAGUCUUUUUUCACUU